CCUACGGGGGGCAGCAGUGGGGAAUAUUGCGCAAUGGGCGAAAGCCUGACGCAGCGACGCCGCGUGAGGGAUGAAGGUCUUCGGAUCGUAAAACUCUGUCAGCAGGGAAGAACGGUAACUGUGCUAAUCAGCAGUGAAUUGACGGUACCUGCACAGGAAGCACCGGCUAACUCCGUGCCAGCAGCCGCGGUAAUACGGAGGGUGCGAGCGUUAAUCGGAAUUACUGGGCGUAAAGCGCUCGUAGGCGGUAUGUCAAGUCAAGGGUGAAAUCCCCGAGCUCAACGUGGGAACUGCCUUUGAAACUGGCAAACUGGAGUGUUGGAGAGGAUAGUGGAAUUCCCGGUGUAGGAGUGAAAUCCGUAGAUAUCGGGAGGAACAUCAGUGGCGAAGGCGAGUAUCUGGCACAUAACUGACGCUGAGGAGCGAAAGCGAGGGUAGCAAACGGGAUUAGAUACCCUAGUAGUC
rnacentral:rRNA from 1 species